GCGGGGUAGCCCAACGGCAGAGGCGAUACGGCUGCCCCCAGGUUCAGGUUGUCACGCCAAGCUCAAACCCGUGCCGAGGUGCCCAAUCGAACGACCGGCUCCAACCAACCUAUAGUGGUUCGAAUCCAUUCCCCCGCG
rnacentral:tRNA from 1 species